AUAUGGUCAAGAAAUUAAGCGCACAUGGUGAAUGCCUUGGCAGUAAGAGGCGACGAAAGACGUGGCAGCCUGCGAAAAGCCCCGGGGAGCUGGCAACGAGCAUUGAUCCGAGGAUAUCUGAAUGGGGAAACCCGAUACGAGAGAUCGUAUCAUCCUGGCCUGAAUACAUAGGGUCAGCGAAGCGAACGUAGGGAACUGAAACAUCUAAGUACCUAUAGGAAAAGAAAUCAACCGAGAUUUCCCAAGUAGUGGCGAGCGAAAGGGAAAGAGCCUGAACGUGGAAAGCAUCGCUAUCUUAUUUGAAUGACCUGGAAAGGUCAGCCGCAGAGGGUGAUAGCCCCGUAGAUUAAAAGAUGUGAUGUGCAAGCGUUCGAGAAGUAGGACGGGACACGAGAAAUCCUGUUUGAAGAUGGGGGGACCAUCCUCCAAGGCUAAAUACUCCUUACUGACCGAUAGUGAACCAGUACCGUGAGGGAAAGGCGAAAAGAACCCCGGAGAGGGGAGUGAAAUAGAACCUGAAACCGUGUGCGUACAAGCAGUAGGAGCAGGGCGCAAGCCUUGUGACUGCGUACCUUUUGUAUAAUGGGUCAGCGAGUUAAUAGCGUUGGCGAGCUUAACCGUAUAGGGGAGGCGAAGGGAAACCGAGUCCGAAAUGGGCGUUAAGUCGGCGUUAUUAGACCCGAAGCCGGGCGAUCUAUCCAUGACCAGAGUGAAGGGACGGUAACACGUUCUGGAGGCUCGAACCCACUACUGUUGAAAAAGUAGGGGAUGAGUUGUGGAUUGGAGUGAAAGGCUAAACAAGCUCGGAGAUAGCUGGUUCUCCUCGAAAGCUAUUUAGGUAGUGCCUUGUAUUUUAAGCUGUGGGGGUAGAGCACUGUGCCGGCUAGGGGGACGUGAUAGUCCUACCAAACCGAUGCAAACUCCGAAUACCGCAGCGGAUAAUACAGGAGACACACGGCGGGUGAUAAGGUCCGUCGUGAAGAGGGAAAAAGCCCAGACCGUCAGCUAAGGUCCCGAAGAGAUAGUUAAGUGGUAAACGAUGUGGGAAGGCAGAGACAGCCAGGAAGUUGGCUUAGAAGCAGCCAUCUUUUAAAGAAAGCGUAAUAGCUCACUGGUCGAGUCGGCCUGCGCGGAAGAUGUAACGGGGCUAAAACUAUCCACCGAAGCUACGGAUUCACACGUAAGUGUGAGUGGUAGAGGAGCGUUCUGUAAGCCUGUGAAGGUGACCUGAGAGGGUUGCUGGAGGUAUCAGAAGUGCGAAUGCUGACAUGAGUAACGAUAAUGCGGGAGAAAAACCCGCACGCCGGAAGUCCAAGGUUUCCUGCGCAACGGUAAUCGGCGCAGGGUGAGUCGGUCCCUAAGGUGAGGCUGAGAAGCGUAGCUGAUGGGAAACAGGUUAAUAUUCCUGUACUUGUAGACUGGAGCGAAGUGGGGACGGAGAAAGCUAGGCUAGCUGGGUGUUGGAUAUCCCAGUUUAAGCAAGUAGGCAGAACGGUUAGGCAAAUCCGGCCGUUCAUAUGCUGAGAUGUGAUGACGAUUUUAUACUUCGGUAUGAGAGAAGUAGCUGAUGCUAAGCUUCCAGGAAAAGCCACUAAGCGAUGAAAGUCUGUGAACCGUACCGCAAACCGACACAGGUGGACAAGUUGAGAAUACUAAGGCGUUUGAGAGAACUCGGGUGAAGGAACUAGGCAAAUUGACACCGUAACUUCGGGAGAAGGUGUGCCUCUUUAGGUGAAGGCCCUGCGGCUGGAGCGUGAAGGGGUUGCAAAGAAUCGGUGGCUGCGACUGUUUAUUAAAAACACAGCACUCUGCGAACUCGAAAGAGGAAGUAUAGGGUGUGACGCCUGCCCGGUGCCGGAAGGUUAAGUGAAGGGGUUAGUCGCAAGACAAAGCUCUCGAUCGAAGCCCCGGUAAACGGCGGCCGUAACUAUAACGGUCCUAAGGUAGCGAAAUUCCUUGUCGGGUAAGUUCCGACCUGCACGAAAGGCGUAACGAUAGCCACACUGUCUCCACCCGAGACUCAGUGAAGUUGAAAUCGCUGUGAAGAUGCAGUGUACCCGCGGCAAGACGGAAAGACCCCGUGCACCUUUACUAUAGCUUUGCACUGGACUUUGAGCGUUUCUGUGUAGGAUAGGUGGGAGGCUUUGAAACCUGGGCGCUAGCUCAGGUGGAGCCGACCUUGAAAUACCACCCUGAAAUGCUUGGGGCUCUAACCUAAUCUCGUAAUCCGGGAUGGGGACAGUGCAUGGUGGGUAGUUUGACUGGGGCGGUCUCCUCCCAAAGAGUAACGGAGGAGUACGAAGGUACACUCAGCGCGGUCGGACAUCGCGCAAUGCGUAUAAGAGCAAAAGUGUGCUUAACUGCGAGACUGACGGGUCGAGCAGAUACGAAAGUAGGUUCUAGUGAUCCGGUGGUUCUGUAUGGAAGGGCCAUCGCUCAACGGAUAAAAGGUACGCCGGGGAUAACAGGCUGAUACCGCCCAAGAGUUCAUAUCGACGGCGGUGUUUGGCACCUCGAUGUCGGCUCAUCACAUCCUGGGGCUGAAGCCGGUCCCAAGGGUAUGGCUGUUCGCCAUUUAAAGUGGUACGCGAGCUGGGUUUAGAACGUCGUGAGACAGUUCGGUCCCUAUCUGCCGUGGGCGUUUGAGAUUUGAGGGGAGUUGCUCCUAGUACGAGAGGACCGGAGUGAACGUACCUCUGGUGUUCCGGUUGUCACGCCAGUGGCAUUGCCGGGUAGCUAAGUACGGAAAAGAUAACCGCUGAAAGCAUCUAAGCGGGAAGCUUGCCCCAAGAUGAGAUCUCACGGGCCGCAAGGCCCCUCAAGGUCCGUUUAAGACCAAGACGUUGAUAGGCUGGGUGUGAAAGCGCAGUAAUGCGUUCAGCUAACCAGUACUAAUUGACCGUGAGACUUGACCAU
rnacentral:rRNA from 1 species